CCCUGUGCUCAUGUGCCUUGUGUGUGUUUUGGGAUAGAGACUGCUUGGGUAUUGUACAACUUUAAUUAAAAGCAUAUUCUAGCUUAGAACCAGGGUCUAAUGUAUUGAACAUGUUGUGAAGCUGAGGUGGAGCUAAAAGGGGAGAAAAGAGGAAAUGCCUCAAUCCUUGCCCAUUACAGAAAGCCAUGCACUUAAAAUCUGCGUGACUCUCAACUAGACUAAAAAUAACUCCACAGAAAUACAAGACUUGUGCCCACAGAGUAUGGUACUGUGUGGAGCAGCCAACCAAAGGGAUGGCACAUCUGAGCAACCUGAUCCAAUGGAAGGUGUCCCUGCCUGUGAUGCAGGGAACUGGAACUGGAUGGUCUUUAAAGUUCCUUCCAACCCAAACCAUUCUAUGAUUCUAUCAUCUCUAUGGCAAGAGCUGUGUUGCGUCUCCAAGUGUACUGAAAGGCCAGGGAGAGCUCCUUUCACUCAGCACAGUGAGUUGUGAGAAAGGUCUGGAGAUUCAGCAAGGGGGCAGAAAGGAAGCAGGAGUGAGUUUAUGAAAACCCUGUGAAUAGGAGGGAGUGGGAGGGAGAUUAAGCCUCAGGCACCGGGAGAGGCUGUUGCAGAAGGCUUUGAACAGGAUGAGCUCUUCUGGAUGCUACAUGGAAAAGGAGAGGGUGGUUGCAUGUAGCAGAGUGGUGAGCACUUUUGGAGCCAUCAGCUCCAUGGCACCAUGCCACUUACAAGAGGAUGAUGGAUGGUUCUUGUCUGCUACUGGAGACCCUCAACAGCAGAAGUAAUUCCCAGCAGUGCUGGUGCCCAAUCUGGCCCUUUUGGUAGUGCUACACACAAGUCCUUUUUGCACACUAUGCAAAUGAUGCUCUAGAUUUUGCCUGGGACUGUAUUUUAGUGAUCCGCUAUUCCUAGAAGGGAAUGGUCUGUAUGCUGCCAUUGCUUGGGCUUGCAUUGUACCUGAGCGAGAGCGUGUUAAAAUUGUUGUUUGUUUGGGACCAUUUUAGGGGGAAGAUAAGAUAUAGGAUUAAUUAAUGAAGAAUCAGAUCCUUUAGGGGUUGGCUGUGUAUAUUGCUCUCCGUAUUAGGAGCAUCCUUAAGUCUCUAACAGGAUGGCACCUCCUGUAUGAGUGAAGGAGACAGACUGCUAUGCAAUGAGGAUCAAGCUGUCCCCUUUCCUGAGUUAAAAUCAACCUUUUGGUGUCUCCUCUCUCUUUCUCCAGCUCCUUGGAUUUCUUUCUGAUGCAGCUGUUGCCUUAACACCUGGCCCAGAUCUGACUUUCCCUUCCCUACCAUCAUGGCCUUGAGAAGCAGAGCAACUUGUUUGAACAUGUCCUACUCUCUUCUCCUUGGCGCUUUUCAUUUGAGUUUCCAAUAUUCCUCCAUUCACGUGUUUCUGAGCUUAAAAUUGGCUUUUCUUAUUUGCAGUGUUGGAGUUAUUUUUUUUUAAAAAAAACACAAAACCCUAAAAUCCUGAUACCAUGAAAAAUAUAAACCAUACAAGCUUCUCAGUAGUUUGUAAUCCUCCCUCUGUCCCUGGAGCAGGAUACACCCAAGUGGCCAUGAAGAUGAUCAUAGGGCUGGAGCACCUCCCAUACAAGGACAGGCUGAGAGAGUUGGGGUUGUUCAGCCUGGACAAGAGAAGGCUCUGGGGAGACCUUAGAGCAGCCUUCCAGUACUUAAAGUGGCCUUACAGGAAAGCUGAUGAGGGGCUGUUUUCAGGGAGUGCAAGGACAGGACAAGGGGGAACAGUUUUAAGCUGAAAGAGGGGAGAUUUAGAUUAGAUAUUAGAAAGAUUUUUUUUUUUCCUGUGAGGGUGGUGAGGCACUGGCACAGGCCGUCCAGAGAAGUUGUGUAUGUUCCAUCCCUGGAGGUAUUCAAGGCCAGGCUGGAUGACGCUUUGGGCAGCCUGAUCCAGUGGAAGGUGUCCCUGUUCAUCCCAAGAGGGGUGGAACUGGAUGGGCUUUAAGGUCCUUUCCAGCCAAAACCAUUUUAUGAUUCUGUGAAGUGAGGACUGCUGACCUAUAAGGCCACACUGACCAUCAAGAAAGACACCCAAAGUGUCUUUGCUGCCGCAACUGCUUGCUGGAAUGGAUCAUCCACACUGCUGAGAUGGCAUGAUUCAUUUAGGAUUGGGUUUUCUCCCCUUUAGGAUUUUCUGCCUUCCAGUGUUGGAUGUUUCUCCUCUUGUACUUUUGAGCUGCUACCUAUUGCAUCUCAGUAACCCUACCUCUGUCCUUGGUGUUACCUUUCUUAUCUGGCAGGGCUCUGUGCUCUUUCUCACACUUUGGCAGCCUCUCGUCUCUCAGAGGCAGGAUUAUCCAGCUGGGCUGCAUCAGGGAGGCCUUGACUCACAGCUGAACCUGGAGAAUGGGAUGGUUUCAGAGCCAGCUUGCUGUAAGCUCUAACUUGUGUUCAUGCUAAUUUAAUACUUCAGAUAGUUGUGUUGGUGCCAGAAUGUGCAACUGCAUUAUUAAAUCACUCCUGCUUCAUUGUCAGUCUGGGGGAUCUGCUAUCCUGGCAUGAUACUGGUUUCUUCCUAAGAUCUCAUCUAAAUCUCCCCUCUUUCAGCUUAUAUUAUACCAUGAUUCUCUGAGAUGUCUACACUCUGUAAGCUGAGGUUUUAAAAAGUGGCCAUUUGUUUCUCUGUGAAAGCCUUGAAAAUAGUGGCCUGUCCAGCUUUCUUUGCUCUUCUAUUGGUGAAAAGCUCUGAAACCAACUGCAUUCAUUGCUUCCCUGUUAAGAAAAAAAAAGAGAAGAGAAAAAUUAAGUCAGGCUCUGCCCCAACACUGAGCUGGCUUGAAUCUUGUAUCUACAACAAAUGUUAGGGAUUUUUGGGCCAGACUUGAUGACAAACCAUUCUUCCAUUUGAAAUGUCUGGGCAGUGAAUCUAAAGUGCUUUUGCCUUUUGUUAUAAAUGCGUAUGUGGGUGCAGUGUUUUGUGUAGGGCCCUCUGCUCAUGUCCUGUAGCUGUGUCCACGUCCUGCCCAGCCAGGCAUUAAGGGAUGUGAUUAAUAGCUGCCACAUGUGGUUGACUCUGCCUCUGAUCUCUAGGCUAGGGAGAUCUGUGUGUGCAGUGGAGGGGUUUAUUUUGUUAGCAGAGCUCUGUGAAAGGUUUGCCUUUGGUCAUUGUCCUGACUGAAAAUUAAGACCUGAAAAAAAGAUUAUACACACAUGUUUCUGUUUGACACAUUUUUUUCUUUAUUUAGUUAAGCUUCAUAGAGUAUUUCCUUUCAGUGCCUUCAACAAAAGAUUCUUAAUAUUUCAGGAUUCCUUUUUGAGUUGCUGUGCACCCAGAGGUGCGUGGGAUACUUUGUAUGUUGUAUUUUCACGCUCUGGACUCCUGCCCAGGAGAUGUCUCCCCAGAGCAGGACACUGCUGCAAGAAAGAGAGCUGAGCUGGCUUAAUGCAGGCACCUAAGAACGACCAUGCCGGUCAGAGAGAAAAUUCAAGCAGCGCCACACUUGGUCUCCAGCAGCUAUCAUCAGUGGAUGUUUAAGGAGAGAAUAUCAAAUGGGAUAUAUAUAAUCAUAGAAACAUUAAGUCAGGAAAAGAUCUCUAAGAUUAUCCAGUCCAACCGUCAGCCCAACACUACUGUGCCUACUAAACUUUGUCAUGAAGGGCCACAUCUACACGUUUUUUGAAAUACAUUCAGGGAAGGAGACUCCACCACUGCCCUGGGCAGCCUUUUCCAAUGCUUCACCACUCUUUCAGCAGAGAAUUUUUUCCUAAUACCCAGCCUAAGCCUCCCCGGCACAACUUGAGGCCAUUUCCUUUCAUCCUGUCACUUUUUACUUGGGAGAAGAGACCAGCACCCACCUUUUCUGCAGGACAGCUUUCCAACCACACUUCCCCACAUUUCCCAGAUGCCAGUCAUAAGCAGCUCAAUGACUUCUUGAGGCAGAAGUUAUAUAUGGAUUGUCACGUUUAACACUCACUAUGGAGCUAUCCUUUGCAAAUAGCCUCUUAAAUCCACAUACCCUUUUGGAUUUGGUGAUCAAGCACUUGGCUCUCCUGUUUAUUUUGGAAGGCCUACAAAUGUGUGGCACCCAAAGCUGCAGUCCUUGCAGGCAAAUGGUGGCCUGAAGCCAUGCAACUUCAUACUGACAUGACUUGAAAGACUUUGGAUUCAGUUCAAGAAAAUGCUGACUUUUGAUUUAAGGGGAAUGAAACCAAAAUUGAAUGAUUUAAGCAAAAUCCCCUUUUUGCCCCUAAAGACUUUUUUUUUUUGUGCGAUUGCUCCUUUUAUGGGUGGAAAAUUCCCAACCUGCUUGACUUGGCAAGCUCAUGUUUUCAGUUAAAGCAUGUGCUGAUAUGCUGAUGUAUGUUUGUAUCUUGCUCCAAUAAAAUGCUGUGGAUAAAUAAAGAACUGAAGGCAACAUACAGUUCCCUUUCUAUUCCAACAGCCCUCAUAUUGCCAGUGGGAGGGAUGGAAAAAUGUUGAUUACAGUUUGGUCUACAUGAAUGACAGUAAAAUUAUACUAAUUAAAAAAUAUACAAUUCCAACUCUUAUCACCUGUGCAGUAGGGGACUUCAACGUAAAUGCAGAAAGAUCGUGAAAAACUGAUCUACAGCACCCGUUGCCUGAGAGAUGUCAAAUGAGAAAAAGGAAUAAACUACUUGUAUUUCAAUAAGAGGACUAUUAAACUUCAGGAGCAAAAGACAUGGAUCUGUUAGAGUGAGUCCACAGGAAGCCACAAAGAUGAUGCAAGGGCUGGAGUACCUCCCAUGCAAGGACAGGCUGAGAGAGUUGAGCUUGUUUAGCCUGGAAAAGCGAAGGCUCUGGGAAACUUUAGAACAGCCUUCCAGUACUUAAAGGGGCUACAGGAAAGCUGCGGAGGGGCACUUUAACAGGGUGUGCAGGGAUAAGAUGAAGGGGAAUGGUUUUAAGCUGAAAAGGGAGAGACUUAGAUUAGCUAUUACAAAGAAAUUUUUCCAUUGAGGGUGGUGAGGCACUGGCACAAGUUGUCCAGAGAAGUCAUGGAUGCCCCAUCCCUGGAGGUGUUCAAGAACAGGUUUGAAAAAGCUGUUUGAAAAAGCUGUUUUGAGCAACCUGAUCCAGUUGGAGGUGUCCCUGCCCACAGCAGGAGAUUGGAACUGGAUGUUCUUUAAGGUCCUUUCCAACCCAAGCCAUUCUAUGAUUCUAUGGUUUUAGACUCAUUGUGCUAGAUUAUAAAGAUUGCCUAAUAAUUCUGUAUGAAAAAUGGGAUUCUUAAAUGCUUUUGCAUCUCCCUAGCUUGUAAUAUGAUGCUUUAUUACCCUCAGAGAAAGGCAAGAAAUUCUUAGGUUGAUUUUUCUCUGCGUGCUGCUGCUGGCUGCUCUCCUCAACCUUAACAGCUGUGAAAGGCUGGUGAGUCCCUGGGAAAGGUGGCUGCCUGUUGUUGGAUACAUCAAGCACGCUCCUAGCACAUAAUAAAUGAUUGUGCAGUUGCAGUAACAGCUCCAUUUUGCAGAGGUGGCCAUUUUGGGCUUCAUUUUAAAUGCAUUUUAACUUUUCUGUCCUCAAGUUUCCCUCCAAAGUCUUCUGGCAAAAGUCAGCUUUAUUUUAGAGUGGAAGUUUUGAGGUUAAUUGAACAGGGCACUUUGGACAUAAGGGAUUUAAGUCCGUAAGACCUUGCAGAUUUCAUGAAAUGCAGUGAUAAGUUUUAGCAGGCUUCUUUUUCAGGUCAGUUUAUGGGGUUACAGCUCUUCAAGACCAAUGAAACCCAGUGGCUCCCUUGACAAGCUACACUGAGCAGUUAGGCAUCUGCUCCCAUAUCCAGCAAGUGAUAGUUUUUACAGGUUUUGAGCCCCUGACAGGGAAGCUUUACAUUAUAUUAUCAGACAAAACCUGAGUCUUUUUCAUAAACCAACUAUUUAUUCCUGAAAAUCUAUUUAACAAAUACGCUCAGUAAACAGAGCUGGGAAAGUGGCUUUAACUUGAUUACAGGUUUUUCCUCCUCUGCUUUGUUCCCUUGCAGAAAAUGACCUUGAUGAAUGGAACGUCCUUUCAGGCCUCAGCCCAGGGCCUCUUUUAGCCACCUGUGGCAGUGGGAAGAGAGGAGGAAGAAACAGUGAUGUCUGGACUCCUGAACAUCUGAAUAUUUACAGAUGAGUGUAUGUGGCUUUCACAGAAGCUGUGAAGGACAGGGAGACAACUCCUAUUCUGAGCCUUCCAUGUGAUGUUCUCUGUGUACUACAGGAGCUCUGCCAGAAAACCAGGAAAGUCAGCAAAAGAGAAGUAAGAGACUUUGAAUUAGAACACCUGCCUGCUCUCUGUGAGCUAUGUGUAUCCAUUCUGAGGUGUGAAAACCCUGCUUAAGGGCAAGCAUCUGCUUGCUGUGGAUUUCUUAGCAUCAUUACAGGCCUCAGUGAUCUGCCUUCUGCAGGAAGUCUCUGCAGAGGGACCUGGACAGGCUGGAUUCAUGGGCUGAUGAAAAUUGUAUGAGGUUUAACAAGGCCAAGUGCUGGGUCCUGCACUUUGGUCACAACCCCACACAACGCUCCAGGUUUGGGGAAGAUUAGCUGGAAAGCUGCCUGAGUGAAAAGGACCUGGAGGUGCUGGUCAACAGCUGAACAUGAGCCAGCAGUAUGUCCAGAUAGCCAAGAAGGCCAACAGCAUCCUGGCUUGUAUCAGAAAUGGUGUGGCCAGCAGGUGUAGGGAAGGGAUCAUCCCCCUGUACUCAGUGCUGGUGAGGCUGCACCUUGAAUCCUUAUUCAGUUUUGGGUCCCUCACUACAGGAAAGAUUUUUAGGGGCUGGCUCACAUGUGGAGAAGGGUGACAGAGCUGGGGAAGGGUCUGGAGCACAGGGGUAAUGGAGAGCAGCAGAGGGAACUGGGGCUGUUCCGUGUAGGAAAUAGGAGGCUGAGGAUACACCUUAUCAUUCUCUACAGCUCCCUAAAAGGAGGUUGUAGUCAGGUGGAUGUUGGUCUCUCAAUGAAGUAACAAGUGACAGGAUGAGAGGAAAUGGUCUCAAGUUGUGCCAGGAGAGAUUUAGACUGGAUAUUAGGAACAAUUUCUUUACUGAAAGAGUGAUGAAGCAUUCAAACAAACUGCUCAGGGAUGGAGUCUCCAUCUUUUCUUCCCCAAAAUAGCAAAUGCAUAUCUGGAUGAGACCUAGGAAUUUCUACUAGCUGGUUGCAGUGUAGGCUUCUUGAGGACCAUGUGUUCUUCAAAGCUUGAAUCAGCAGCCUGUUUGGUACAUUCUUAGAAUAAACAACUAUUGCAUUGUUACUUUGUAUGUGCUUUUUGGGUAUGAAAUAAAUCACAAACAAUUCUAUGGCUGACACAACAACUGCAAGAUCUGUUUAUAUGCCAACUAAGCUAUACUGCAAAGGCUUCAGAUCAGCAAAAGUGACAAGCAUGGAGAGAGAGGGGAGGUCAUUAAACCUCUUUCUUUGCCUUGAGAAAGUAUCCACUAAAUGUACAUCUUUGUUGAUGGAGGCUACACAGCCUGCUCUUAAAUCUCUUGGCAACAGAAACUCUGUUCACUUUCCAAGUUAUCUUUUCCAGGACUUAGCUUACAGCCAAAAGUUUGUCCUAAUGAAUGAUCUUGCUACUAUUUGAGUGCAUGGUUUUAAAACCAAUAUAUUCUUGGUUUUUUGUUGUUGCAGGGUGGUGAUUUCUACUAUAAGACUGAUCCCUCGUGUCCUCAUCGUGGUUUAACUCCAGCCAGUAACUGAGCUCCAAGCAGCUGCUCAUUCACCCACUUCCAGAGGGAUUGGGGAGAGAAUCACAAAGGCAGAUGUUCAGCCAUCUCCAGGCAAAACAGGGCUCCACCAUACAUAACACAACUUGGGAAGACAAAAGCCAUCACUCCAAACAUCCCCACCUUCCUCCUUCUUCUCCAGCUUUAUAG